rnacentral:rRNA from 1 species
GACGAACGCUUGCGGCGUGCUUAACACAUGCAAGUCGAACGGAAAGGCCCUGCUUUUGUGGGGUGCUCGAGUGGCGAACGGGUGAGUAACACGUGAGUAACCUGCCCUUGACUUUGGGAUAACUUCAGGAAACUGGGGCUAAUACCGGAUAGGAGCUCCUGCUGCAUGGUGGGGGUUGGAAAGUUUCGGCGGUUGGGGAUGGACUCGCGGCUUAUCAGCUUGUUGGUGGGGUAGUGGCUUACCAAGGCUUUGACGGGUAGCCGGCCUGAGAGGGUGACCGGCCACAUUGGGACUGAGAUACGGCCCAGACUCCUACGGGAGGCAGCAGUGGGGAAUAUUGCACAAUGGGCGGAAGCCUGAUGCAGCAACGCCGCGUGCGGGAUGACGGCCUUCGGGUUGUAAACCGCUUUCGCCUGUGACGAAGCGUGAGUGACGGUAAUGGGUAAAGAAGCACCGGCUAACUACGUGCCAGCAGCCGCGGUGAUACGUAGGGUGCGAGCGUUGUCCGGAUUUAUUGGGCGUAAAGGGCUCGUAGGUGGUUGAUCGCGUCGGAAGUGUAAUCUUGGGGCUUAACCCUGAGCGUGCUUUCGAUACGGGUUGACUUGAGGAAGGUAGGGGAGAAUGGAAUUCCUGGUGGAGCGGUGGAAUGCGCAGAUAUCAGGAGGAACACCAGUGGCGAAGGCGGUUCUCUGGGCCUUUCCUGACGCUGAGGAGCGAAAGCGUGGGGAGCGAACAGGCUUAGAUACCCUGGUAGUCCACGCUGUAAACGGUGGGUACUAGGUGUGGGGUCCAUUCCACGGGUUCCGUGCCGUAGCUAACGCUUUAAGUACCCCGCCUGGGGAGUACGGCCGCAAGGCUAAAACUCAAAGGAAUUGACGGGGCCCCGCACAAGCGGCGGAGCAUGCGGAUUAAUUCGAUGCAACGCGUAGAACCUUACCUGGGUUUGACAUGGAUCGGGAGUGCCCAGAGAUGGGUGUGCCUCUUUUGGGGUCGGUUCACAGGUGGUGCAUGGCUGUCGUCAGCUCGUGUCGUGAGAUGUUGGGUUAAGUCCCGCAACGAGCGCAACCCUUGUUCACUGUUGCCAGCACGUUAUGGUGGGGACUCAGUGGAGACCGCCGGGGUCAACUCGGAGGAAGGUGGGGAUGACGUCAAGUCAUCAUGCCCCUUAUGUCCAGGGCUUCACGCAUGCUACAAUGGCUGGUACAGAGAGUGGCGAGCCUGUGAGGGUGAGCGAAUCUCGGAAAGCCGGUCUCAGUUCGGAUUGGGGUCUGCAACUCGACCUCAUGAAGUCGGAGUCGCUAGUAAUCGCAGAUCAGCAACGCUGCGGUGAAUACGUUCCCGGGGCU